AUUGAACGCUGGCGGCAGGCCUAACACAUGCAAGUCGAGCGAGCGGCGGACGGGGGCGUAAUGUAUGGGGACUGCCCGAUAGAGAGGGAUAACUACUGGAAACGGUAGCUAAUACCGCAUACUAUCGGAUAACCCAUAGGGGAUUAGAUAGUAGGUGAGGUAAUGGCUCACCUAGGCGACGAUCCCUAGCUGGUCUGAGAGGAUGAUCAGCCACACUGGGACUGAGACACGGCCCAGACUCCUACGGAGGCAGCAGUGGGGAAUAUUGCACAAUGGGCGCAAGCCUGAUGCAGCCAUGCCGCGUGAAUGAAGAAGGCCCUAGGGUUGUAAAGUACUGUUGGCAGAGAAGCGGUAUCUGCAGAGUAAGCACCGGCUAACUACGUGCCAGCAGCCGCGGUAAUUC
rnacentral:rRNA from 1 species